rnacentral:rRNA from 1 species
GUGUCAGCCGCCGCGGUAAUACAGAGGGUGCGAACGUUGUUCGGAAUUACUGGGCAUAAAGCGUGCGUAGGCGGCGGCGUAAGUGUAGGGUGAAAUCCCACGGCCCACCCGUGUGAACAGCCCCGCAUACUGCGUUGCUUGAGUGUGGUAGGGGAGAGCGGAACUCCUGGUGGAGCGGUGAAAUGCGUAGAUAUCAGGAGGAACACCGGUGGCGCAGGCGGCUCUCUGGUCCACAACUGACGCUGAAGUACGAAAGCUAGGGUAGCGAACGGGAUUAGAAACCCCCGUAGUCC